UGAGAACCGUAAUUAUUUAAAUUUGUUUAAAUAAAUAUUUUUGUUCUUUUAUAUAAAUACUACUAGUAAAUUGAUAUUUGAAUAAAUAUUAUUUUAAUAGAAUUUUUUAAAAACGAACAAAAACAUAUAAUAAUGACACAUCCUUUGAUGUACAUACUCCCUAUUGUAGUGGGAGUAGGGGCUUUCGUAUAUUUUGCAAUAGUAGAGCAAAGGAAUCGAAAUUUCUUACAACCAAGCCGAAAUGAACAAUAUAAUGCACCUUUAGAAGGAACUUGUACAAUUUGCUUUGAGCAAUACAAUGCUACUUUUGGUUGCCAGAAGGUGCGAUGUGGACAUAUUUUCCAUCGAGAAUGUUAUUUUAGACUCUUAGAAAAAAGUACGAAUAAUUUAUCUCCAGUUUGUCCGAAUUGUAAAAGCAGUAUAUUUUAGACAACAACAAACAAGUAAAAAACUUAAAAAAAAGAAGUACAUCAUGUAUAAAGAAUAUUGCAUCAUGGCUUAAUCUAACGCAUGUAUGGGUAAUCGAUUUCCUUUAAUGGCAUAAAUGUUUCUUUAAUCG